rnacentral:sRNA from 1 species
CUGAUGCCCACAAAGGGAGGGUGAGAACCCUCGCCGGGUUCGAGCAGAGCAGCUUGCUGCGAUGAACGGCCGCAGGCCACCCCAAAGGGGUGAGCUACACAGUGGUGAAGCAUCCCACCCAAUCUAAAA